rnacentral:rRNA from 1 species
GAGAGUUAAACAGUACGUGAAAUUGUUGAAAGGGAAACGAUUGAAGCCAGUCGUACCUUCGGGUAAUCAGCCUUUCGGGUGCGAUUCUGUGGAGUGUGAGGAGCUUAAACACCUUCAUGUUUUGCAUAUUCGUACUCUUGGGUGUACUUGCCCGUGUGGUUGGUUAACAUCAAUUUUGGUGGUCAUAAAAUGACUGGGGGAAUGUAGCUUCGAUCUUGUAUUGAAGUGUUAUAGCCUUCGGUAGAUGUGAUGAUCGAGAUUGAGGAUUGCAACGGAUACCCUUCGGGGCUACCUGUCUGGUCUCUGAUCGUUGCUCUGGUGCCGAAAGCUUGCUUACGGUUAUCAAAGUCGAUGGUCAAUAGGUUAGAACGGGUUAAAUUCGUUAAGGAUGUUGACGUAAUGGCUUUAAAUGA